CCCCUCGACGGCGAUGGGGCUCCGCCGACAACCGCCCGCCCGGGCUGAUGGCUCCUACCCGACC
rnacentral:ncRNA from 2 species